UACGAAGGGGGCUAGCGUUGCUCGGAAUUACUGGGCGUAAAGCGCACGUAGGCGGGUCGCUAAGUCGGGGGUGAAAUCCUGGAGCUCAACUCCAGAACUGCCUUCGAAACUGACGAUCUUGAGUUCGGGGGAGGUGAGUGGAACUGCGAGUGUAGAGGUGAAAUUCGUAGAUAUUCGCAAGAACACCAGUGGCGAAGGCGGCUCACUGGCCCGAUACUGACGCUGAGGUGCGAAAGCGUGGGGAGCAAACAGG
rnacentral:rRNA from 1 species